GCCAUGCGAGUCGAGAGGGUUCGGCCCUCGGCUGACGGCUCAGUAACACGNUGGANAAUCUACCCUAAGGUGGAGGAUAACCUCGGGAAACUGAGAAUAAUACUCCAUAGGUCUAGGAUGCUGGAAUGCACUUAGGCUGAAAACUUCGGUGCCCUAGGAUGAGUCUGCGGACUAUCAGGUUGUAGUCAGGGUAAAGACCUGACUAGCCUACGACGGAUACGGGUUGUGAGAGCAAUAACCCGGAGAUGAUAUCUGAGACACGAUAUCAGGCCCUACGGGGCGCAGCAGGCGCGAAACCUUCACACUGCGCGAAAGCGCGAUGAGGGAAUCCCAAGUGCUUGCACGUAAGUGUAAGCUGUUUUUAUGUCUAAAAAGCAUAGAGAGUAAGAGCUGGGUAAGACGGGUGCCAGCCGCCGCGGUAAUACCUGCAGCUCGAGUGGUGGUCGCUAUUAUUGGGCCUAAAACGUUCGUAGCCGGUUUGUUAAAUGCCUAGGUAAAUAGUAUAGCUUAACUAUACGAAUUCUGGGUAGACUGUCAAACUUGAGAUCGGGAGAGGCUAGAGGUACUCCUGGGGUAGAGGUGAAAUUCUGUAAUCCUAGGGGGACCACCAGUGGCGAAGGCGUCUAGCUAGAACGAGUCUGACGGUGAGGGACGAAGCCCUGGGGCGCAAACGGGAUUAGAUACCCCGGUAGUCCAGGGUGUAAACGCUGCUUGCUUGAUGUUAGUCGGGCUCUGAGCCCGAUUAGUGUCGGAGAGAAGUUGUUAAGCAAGCUGCCUGGGAAGUACGGUCGCAAGGCUGAAACUUAAAGGAAUUGGCGGGGGGAGCA
rnacentral:rRNA from 1 species